GAUGAAGAACGUAGUGAAAUGCGAUAAGUAAUGUGAAUUGCAGAAUUCAGUGAAUCAUCGAAUCUUUGAACGCACAUUGCGCCCGCCAGUAUUCUGGCGGGCAUGCCUGUUCGAGCGUCAUUUCAACCCUCAGGCCCCCAGUGCCUGGUGUUGGGGAUCGGCCCAGCCUUCCUGUAAGGCCGCCGGCCCCGAAAUCUAGUGGCGGUCUCGCUGUAGUCCUCCUCUGCGUAGUAGCACAACCUCGCAGUUGGAACGCGGCGGUGGCCAUGCCGUUAAACACCCCACUUCUGAAAGUUGACCUCGGAUCAGGUAGUAAUACCCGCUGAACUUAAGCAUAUCAAUAAGCGGAGGA
rnacentral:misc_RNA from 1 species